rnacentral:tRNA from 1 species
CGGCGUCUUGGCGACGGGCGGCGGCCUCGUCUUCUACGGGACGAUGGACGGUUGGUUCAAGGCCGUGGACGCCAA